rnacentral:rRNA from 1 species
ACGGAGGGUGCGAGCGUUAAUCGGAAUUACUGGGCGUAAAGCGUGCGCAGGCGGUUUGCUAAGACAGGUGUGAAAUCCCCGGGCUUAACCUGGGAAUGGCGCUUGUGACUGGCAGACUAGAGUACGGCAGAGGGGGGUGGAAUUCCAGGUGUAGCGGUGAAAUGCGUAGAGAUCUGGAGGAACACCGAUGGCGAAGGCAGCCCCCUGGGUCGAUACUGACGCUCAUGUACGAAAGCGUGGGGAGCAAACAG